UACGUAGGGGGCAAGCGUUGUCCGGAAUUAUUGGGCGUAAAGAGCGUGUAGGCGGUCCGGUAAGUCAGCUGUGAAAGUCGGGGGCUCAACCCUCGGAUGCCGGUGGAUACUGUCGGGCUUGAGUACGGAAGAGGCGAGUGGAAUUCCUGGUGUAGCGGUGAAAUGCGCAGAUAUCGGGAAGAACACCUAUGGCGAAGGCAGCUCUCUGGGACGGUACUGACGCUGAGGUGCGAAAGCGUGGGGAGCAAACAGG
rnacentral:rRNA from 1 species